rnacentral:rRNA from 1 species
UGGGGAAUUUUGCACAAUGGGGGAAACCCUGAUGCAGCGACGCCGCGUGAUUUAGAAGGCCUUCGGGUUGUAAAAAUCUUUUCUAUGGGAAGAAAAUGACAGUACCAUAGGAAUAAGGACCGGCUAAUUACGUGCCAGCAGCCGCGGUAAUACGUAAGGUCCGAGCGUUGUCCGGAAUCAUUGGGCGUAAAGGGUACGUAGGCGGGUAAGCAAGUUAGAAGUGAAAUCCUAUAGCUCAACUAUAGUAAGCUUUUAAAACUGCUCAUCUUGAGGUAUGGAAGGGAAAGUGGAAUUCCUAGUGUAGCGGUGAAAUGCGCAGAUAUUAGGAGGAAUACAGGUGGCGAAAGCGACUUUCUGGCCAUAACCUGACGCUGAGGUACGAAAGCGUGGGUAGCAAACAGG